GGCUCCCUACGGGCGCAGCAGUAGGGAAUUUUCGUCAAUGGGCGCAAGCCUGAACGAGCAAUGCCGCGUGAACGAGGAAGGUUUUCGGAUCGUAAAGUUCUGUUGAAGGGGAAAAAGAGCGGAGAGAGGAAAUGAACUCCGAUUGAUAUUACCCUUCGAGGAAGUCACGGCUAACUACGUGCCAGCAGCCGCGGUAAUACGUAGGUGGCGAGCGUUAUCCGGAAUGAUUGGGCGUAAAGGGUGCGUAGGCGGCCUGCUAAGUCUGGAGUGAAAGGUACCGGCUCAACCGGUACAGGCUCUGGAAA
rnacentral:rRNA from 1 species